rnacentral:lncRNA from 1 species
GAUAGGGUCUUUGGUACAGGAAGGCAUUCUGCAUGAUACCAAGAGAGAAAUGUAAACAUCAGCCCUCCAUAAAUCCUUUUAGCUACCAUGAUGUCCUGCUUGCAGUGGCACAAGGCUCAUGGGAGUAACAAAAUAGCAUCUGAUUUUAUUCUUCGUUCUCCACUAGAUGGAAACCAUAUCCAACUCUGCAUUAGUGACCAAUAACCUGAGACUAGAUAGGCCACCUGGGAUAGAUCCAAGUAUUACUGUUCUAAAGAACAACAACAACAACAUUGUAGCAAUAAAAUGACUCCUAAUGAUACUCUGAUAUACCCAUAGGUCAGUGCCUUGCUUAUGUACCUUCAGAAAUUCUUCCUCCUGCAUCAGACAUGAAAAGACAUACAGAGACUCCCAGCCAGACAUCAUGCAAAGAUGCCCAAUUAGAUGUCUCUGAUUGGGAUGUCUCCAUCAAAUCCUUCUCAGGGCUCAGGAAACUCUAUGGAAGGCGAGGAAAAACAUGUAAGAGCCAGAGGAAUAGAGGACACACACAAAAAACAAAAACAAAACAAAACAAAACAAAACAAAAAAACCAAAAAAAAAAAACCCAAAAAACAACAAAAAAAAAACCAAUCCCUUCUGAAUCAACAUGAUCAAAGCUGACAUGUAUGUAUAGAGACUGUGGCAGAAUCUACAGGGCCUGCAUGGGGUUGCACCAGGUCCUCUGGGUAUAUCUUAUGGCUUCCAGUUUUUAUGGACUCCCAAGUGUACAAAUGGGUCUCCCCUUUUGAUGUCUUCUCUUUGGCUCUUUUCCUUCUCUUUGUUUUAUUCUUUUUGUUUUUGUUUCAUGCCAACAUGUUAGUUAUCUUAUUUUUAUUUUGUUUUUAUCCUUUAGAAGCCUGUUUGUUUUAUAAAGAGAGACAGGAAGGUAGUAGAUAUGUGUGGGAGAGGAGGCGAGGCAAAUCCGGGGGAGUAGAGAGAAGGGAGACCAAUCAGGAUUAUGUGAGAAGAAAAAAAAAUCCACUUUGAAUAAAAGGAGUAAAAGCAGUCAUGAGCACAGUGUAAAAGCAGACACAUGGCUGUGUUGUCAAAAAUUUUUAUUUAUGAGCUCUGGAAUUUUACUAUCCUAUUGACCACACAUUGUAAAAUAAUGUCUUACAAUGAUACCUUUCAGCCAUUUCAGAUUCUUACACAUUGUACCAAAGAAAGGGCAGAAUUAGAAUUGUCCCAUAGGAUAUAGCUACUGACCAUUGCUCUAAGUCUUGUGCGUUUGUCCUUGGUUCCAUGUGGAGUCCUCACAGAUCCUUUGGCCUGACAUUGCCCAGAUAUGUAUUUGUGACCCUUUGGCUGCAACAUCUGCACCCUCAAUUGUUCUGAGGAUGAAACACAUUGCCCUUCUUUUGCUGACCUCCAAUCACACCAACCAAAGGUUUCUCUGACACUGAAAUGCUUCCUCACUCCUCACCUUGGAUCCUUGAACUACCUUCCUCCUUCCUUCAUUCCUUCCCCUCUUUCUUUCCCCUCUUCAUGUUUUGUGAUAACAUUUCGCCCUUACUGUCCUUUUUCUUUGUGCUGUCAUGUACUCCCGUGUAAGUGGCAGCCACCUUGAAGGUUAACAAAGAUAAAAUAAUAAAAUGUAUCUAGAGUUCUUAGUCCAGUGCCUUGUACUUUUCUCCUCAUCUUUGGUCUCUGUUCAGACUCUUUUCAACUUCCUGGACGAUGGCUGUCAUUAAUGCUAUCCUUUUCAGUAAAAAAUAACAGUCAGGGUCACGUGCAGACGCUGCAGGCUACCUCAUAUUGUGUGGUCUGUGGGGAAAUAUAGCUUAUGAACUUACACAUAAGGAAUAGCUAUAAGGAUCUGUCUACAGAAAGUCAGUUGGUCUUUGUUUUGUUCACAUUUCUCUGGCACGAGUUCUGACUUUAGUGGAAAUCCACCACUACUGGUUGGGGCUCCAUCUUGGUAUAGUCCUUCUAAGGCUGUCUUCGUUCUCUUGAGUGAUUUUUGCACUUAUUUUUGGGUUAUUUACUUAAAACUUGGUGUGGUUUAACUUGGUUCGUUUCUGUUUUUAAAUUUGUUUGCAGUGUCUCCAAAUGAGCUGUUCAGUGACGUGGGCAUGGGGCAAACUGAGCUCCUUAUCCGUACCAUAGGUGAGAACGGCCUCGGAUUACAAAUGGAAAGCUUAUACAUUGAUGCAGUGGUAGCUGUUACUCCAAUAUUGAAUUAGAAACUUGUGAAGGCAUCAUAAAGAUGGACAUUCUUAUUGGGAGAAAGGAAAGAAUCUAGCCCUUCUCAUUUACCCUGGAUUUGUGUAAGCACCAAACUGUUUCGAGAUAGCUGCGGAACUCCUUGCAGAUACAGUUGAUAGCAUAUGUAUAAAUGUCAAAGUGUGCUAAGACUUGAAAGAGUAUUUAAUAAAGUCUAACUGUAAAGAUAGAAACUUUUAUCAGAAUCGAGUUUCAGCUUUUCAAAAUGCUUAAAACGUGAAUGAGAUCCCAUGCGGCCAUUAAUGUGUUGGAAAGAACCAGAAGAUUUCUUUAUAGACUAUAUAUUUAGUGUUCAUGGCAUAGUCAGAUGAUUUAUGAAAUGAUAUAAAGUGAAAACAGAAUUUAUGAAGACUUCUGUGGCUUUCCUCUUUUACUUGUUUGGGUGAGUGGCUCACACGUUCCAUGACUCAAAACACAGCUUUACCCAUCAGGUUUCAUU